UCUUUGUCAUUUCUUAACAGCCUCUGGACUUUGAGACCAAGAAAUCCUAUACUCUGAAGGUAGAGGCAGCCAAUGUCCAUAUUGACCCGCGUUUCAGCAGCAGGGGGCCCUUUAAAGAUACAGCAACGGUUAAAAUUGUCGUGGAGGAUGCAGAUGAGCCUCCUGUCUUCUCUUCACCAACUUACCUCCUGGAAGUUCAUGAAAAUGCUGCUCUGAACUCCGUGAUUGGGCAAGUGACUGCUCGUGACCCUGAUAUCACAUCCAGUCCUAUAAGGUUUUCCAUCGACCGUCACACUGACCUGGAGAGGCAGUUCAACAUUAAUGCAGAUGAUGGGAAAAUCACUCUGGCAACACCACUUGACAGAGAAUUAAGUGUGUGGCAUAACAUAACCAUCAUUGCAACUGAAAUUAGCUGCCAGCUCAGCUUUCUCGUUCCCUGAUGACCAGAUCCGUGGAGUGCCCUUUUGCACCUUUUCCAUUGAAAAUGUCUCCUCAGAUUUCUUCCCUCACAUGUAUGUGUGCUUCAGCAGUUGCUGAUGCUCAGGAAUGCGGCCGUGGAUUGCUCUCGGGAGUGGGAGAGCCUGGACCAGGGACAGCGGGAUUCGUACAGCCCUGGUGCUGGAGAGCCAGAGCCACCUCAUCUCCCUGGGUGAGAGUCACAAUUUGAACCUAGAAAUUCCUGCUUUCUGUUACUCUUUUUUUGGAUUGUCUUUAAAUAUCUAGAGGUAUUUCUUUUUAAAACAAUCUUUGAGUCAUAGAUGGACACAUAAUUUUAUUUCAUUUAUUUAUUUUUAUGUGGUGCAGAGGAUGGAUCUCAAUGCCUCACAUGUACUAGGCUAGUGCUCUGCCCCUGAGCCACAAGCUCAGCCCUGGUUUGUGUUUUACUGACAGCCCACAUCAUCCUCGGUGACCCAACUUCUCCAUCCUUCAGGAAUCUUGUGUGCCAUUUUCUUGCCCUGUCACUGUUUCUCUUCCUUAACAACCAAGGUUCCAGAUGGAAAUUUUAUUCAUGUGAUCAUGUUUUAAUAUUUUGACUUCUGGGCAGGGCUGUGCAUAUAUCAGCCAGAUGUGCUCUUAUUAGGAAAAGGUCAAGAGCCCUGGAUGGUUUUGAAGGAUGAAGUAAGAGGAUCUUACCCAGGUGAGCGUGGGCUGAAGAGGCACCAGCCAGCCAUCGUCACACAUGAUAGCCUGGCUGCUUGGUGAGGCAGCAGCACCCCUGGAAUAUCCAGCUGGAAUAUCACUUCACUGGCCAAAAAUCUCUACUGAAGGCCUGCAAAACACACACACAGCCUUUUGCAAGAGAACUUUCUCUUCAUUCCAGACGACUCUCCAUUUCUAUGCUCUCAUUAUCCCCUUGUGUUACAAAAUGGAAAAUGCCCUUCUAUUUUUCUGGUGGUACUUAUUUUAUGGAUGGUAUGGGUAAGCUCUUUUCUCUACCUUUUUCAUUUGUGUAUUUGUUAAUUUCUUCAUUCUCUAAAACAAAUUGUGCUUUUGCUUUUUAUUUUACCUCAACCUCUUGAGGUCUUCCUAUAUUACCUACUCUUUCCUUGCUGUGUUUUUCCUGCACUCAUUAAUUCAUACUUUCAUCUGACAAUCUUUUAUCUGAUUUUUAAAUUUUGUUUUGGUUCAGAAGAGUUAACAAAGAGAGUAAGAUAUAUUAAAAAAGCUUUUAUGCUUUCAUAUGAGAAGAACAUGGCCAGAAAUCUGCAUAAUUGAUUCUAUAGUAAGAAAAGACCCAAUAGCCUGCGGUUUGAAAUCAGGAUAAAACAGUGAAAACAGUUCUGACCAGUAAGGAGGAAGAGACACAAGAGAGGUUAAAGCUGAUGGAGGACAACCAGGGGAAUACAGUGCAGAAGAGACAGCUGGUUUGUCCAGGUCCCAGGUCCCUAGAUUUUUCAUUUACUCCUCUAAUGAUGAUGAUGAUUUCUUACUAGUUGUUGAGCACUUAUUCUGUGCCGGGUGCUUCCUGGAAAUAGUGUAUGAUUCCCUAUUCCCUCAAAAGAAACUCUGAGAAGAGAUAUUUUAUCCUCAUUCAUCAUAUAGAAUAAAUAAAUAAAAGCUCUGCCAAGGUCAUUGAUACUCCCAACACCAAAAGAUGGUAUCAGUAAAAUAAACUAAUCUGAAACCAUGGUCUGUUAUCUUGCUGCUGUGGUUCACUGCUCAUACCUUGUGAGUGAACUGCAUUUGAACUCAUUUGCUUGUUGCUUGAGUCCUUGCUCAGCUCCUAAGAAAUUCUGUCCCAAGAAAAACUCCCAAGUUCACAAGAAAAAUUUAUAGCACAAACAAAUGCCAUUUUGACUGAAUCCUAGUUGUGUAUGAAAAAUUAGUCUCUAAAGAGUUAAGACUUCUGCUUUAUUUCUAGCUCUGCCGGAUUCAUGUUGCUUCAACAGAAUUCUCAAAUUAUUUUCCUGUCUGAAAUAUCACCCAUAACCAACUCCAUCACUGUAAAUACAACAUACCCCGUGUUGUGGAGUUCCACGUAUAGUGCUGAUUCUGGACUAUAUUGCUUUCCAUGUAUGAGACUGAUGCUCUGUUGUUUCCAACCUUCCUGUAUUUUAGCUUAGAAUUAUAUAAGAUGUUCAUCAUAGUGUCUUGCACGUUACUUGCAGAUUUGUAGGUAUUUUAUGAAAUACUUUCCUUGGCCUUGUCUAGAAGGGAAAAAGAAGAUCUUGGGAGGGCUUUGAAAGCAUACAACAGCCACAUUUUCUAUCAAAUGGAUGAGUAAUACUAUGAUAUAAAGAAUAAAUAAAACACUCUGGGUGGGAUUAUAUGACAAAAAGUGGUUUGGCUAUGCAAGUGGAAGAAAUGAGCAAGGUUCAGUAUUUACAUGUACAAUGACAAAAAAAGAAUGAGAAGGGUUCAUCACAUUCCUUCACAUUUCUCUGUGACUACUUAUGGCCUGGGUAUGCCUUUGUCUCCUGAUUAUCCAAGGCUUCUGGAAGCACCAUGUGUAACAGUUUCCAUAGAGAUGGAAGGGGUGAAAUGGUGAGACAGGUCACAUGAUGAGAUUACUCCAUUGGUGGACUUGGUCCCUAAUUUUGUAAUGGCAUCCUCUACUAUAUCCUGUGUACCACUCACCAUCCUUUUUUCUUGUAAUGUGUUUAUUCUAUAAUUAUAUUCUAAUGACUCACAUGUGCUAAAAAUUCAUGAGCAUACUAUCUGAAACACAGCUUUAGGUCUUUAGUUUCUUAUGCUGUUUUUGAAGUGGUAUGCAGACAAUCCUUUUUGAUCAAUCUCCUCAGAUGAAGAUGACUAAAGAAAAGAUUUUCUCUCAUCACCUGCCUGAAUUUUUAUUACCACUUAAACAGUUUGACUUCUUUCUGGCCCUUUUGUUGACACUGCAGAGAAUUUGUGAAUUUUAAAACUCAUUUCCUUCCCAUGAAUCUUAGGAUUUACUCUGUAUCAUUUCCUAUCUCCUACAAAAGCAGUUUCCAAAUUGCACAUGGGCUUUAAAAGUAUGACCUUGGGGUGAAGGGCACAAGCAAGAUUUGGGAGUGUUAUGGCUUAGAUGUUGUUGUCCCCCAAAAGCUCAUGUGUGAGACAAUGCAAGAAGGUUUAGAGGUGAAAUGAUUGGGUCAUGAGGGCCUUAUCCUGAUCAGUGAAUUAACACCCUGGUAGGGAUGAACUGAAUGGGAGCUGAGGCCAGGUAGGGUGUGGUUGGAGGAGGUAGAUCAAUGGGACUUUGGGGUGUCUAUUUUGGGAAUUGAGCCCAGUCUCCCUGCUUCCUGAUUGUCAUGUCCUGGGGCAUUUUUCUCCACCACACACAUCUGCCAUGAUGUUCUCCCUCCUCUCAGUCCCCAAGGAAUGGAGCUGACUGUCAAGGACUGAAACCUCUUGUGUUUUAUAAGCCCACAAAUAAAAUGUUCCUCCUCAGAUUGUUCUUCAGGUCUUUUGGUCACAUUGGCAAAAGAGCUGAAUCAAACAGGGAAAAUUAUGUAUUAUCAAGGGAUAUCUCCCAAUAAUAAAGUUGAGAAUUCAUUUGAUCCUGUUUGUGGAACCUUUCUACUUGCAUCACUUCAACUCUGUCAGCCCUGCUGUGUCCUACGCCCACGAAGCCCCUGGGCAGAGAGUGAACCUGGGGUUGAAGCAAUGCUUAAAUCAACAGGAGGCCUUCAUGAAAUUGGAGUGAAGCUGCUGCUGGAGGCUGCCUUCCACUUGCACCUCAUUCCUGCUCCUGGGAGCACACAUGCUCUUGUACUGAGUACAGGCCCUAAGGUCCCCUUAAAACGAAUAGAAAACUGUUGCUGCAAGAAAGCAGAGUUCCUUAGGGUCACAUGGAAAUUCAUGUUUAUAAUUAGCCUUGGAACCACUGUACAACAUCCAAUUAAUUUUCCCUUCAACAAGCAGUUUCCAAAUUGCACAUUGGUGUAAAAUCUGAGACAGUGGCCUGAAGGUCAAGGGAUUUAUGGAAAGAUCAUUGUUUAUCAAGAUGUGUGUCCCAAAGAUACACAAAGAUAGGAUCGUGAAUUCACGUUGAUUCUGCAUUUGCAAUCUUGCCACUGGUACAUUUUGUCUGUGUUCUUCUAGUUGUUUUUCUAAAGCAGAUACUCAGACCAGUUGUGCAAUACACCUACUAAGUUUCUAGAUAGAAAGAGAACCUGGGGUUGACAUAAGAGUAAACUCAGAUCCCUUGGUGAAUUAAAUUGGAAACUGCCUGUGGUAGAGGCUGCCCUUUGCAUUCCACUACUUGUCACAUAAGCCUUUUCUAAACUUCAUUUUCAAAUCUGUUCCUCUUAGAUAUACAUGACAGUAGGGAACUUGAGACCUCUAAAUUUCCUAACCUCCUACAGAGGAAGGCUUGAUCUGUCUUUGCUAAUAUGAUUACCCACCCUAAGAGACAGAAAUAUAGGGAUCUCUAUUAAACACAGAGGUUAUGCCAAUAAAAAGGUAUUUUACAAAAUUCAGGUGGCAUUAGAUAUCUUAACUACAACUUAUGGGAGCAUCUGUGACAUUAUACAAACUAAAUGCUGUGGUUACAUUCCUGACAACUCUGGCAAUGUAACUAAUAUCCUUAAAGAUUCACAUUCCCAUGAGAGGCAACGUCCUCACAGGCCUUGUCAUAGUAACAACUUCUUAGCUCUUGGUCAUCUGGCAUCUCCUGGUGUAAAAUAUGCUGGUCUUUAUCAUCAUCGCCAUCAUCAUCAUCAUCAUCAUCAUCAUCAUCAUCAUCACCAUCAUCAUCACCAUCAUCAUCAUCACCACCACCAUCAUCAUCAUCAUCAUCGUCAUGAUCUUUGUGAUAUUUACUGACAUGUUCAGAUGCUGGGACAUUUAUUGUUGUAUUAACCUCAUUCCAGAACUCAUGUUUUCUUUUGUCUCUUGUACAGCACCCUCCCCCCAGGUGACUUUACAACCUGUUUUCUCCAAACUAGAUUCAUCCCUCAGACCCAUCAACACACCCACAACAUUUCUAAAAGGGAAACCAAAGUGCUUGUCCCAUGUCACCCCAUCUCAGCCUGAAGCAGCCAGAGCAGUCCUCACCCAUUUCACCUUUCAGCACCAAGGGCGCCCUUACUCAGAGGGGGAAUGAGACAGGAAAAAAAGACAGAGAGUAAAUGAUCAGGUGGGAAAGAUGAGGAGGGUUAUAAAAGGAUAAGAAAUGGGCCGCUCCAGUUGCAAUUCCCACUGAACCACUUGCUCACACCUCCCUGAUCUGCACUUUCCAACACAAAUGAUCACACCCUGGGCUGCUCCUUCCUGACAUUAUCCUGUACACAGGAAAGAAAAGGAAGUUGGGGAGGGAGAGGAAACCUGGGAUCUAUAAAAUGUAAGACACACCACCUGCAUGGGCACCCAGCUGUGGUCUCCUAUUUCCCUCUGGAUACGUCUGCCACCUCUGUUAUCUUUCCUUUAAAAAAAAAAAAAGUUGUUUUCUAUGCUUGUGUUAUGGUUUGGAUAUGAGGUAUUCCCCAAGAGCAUGUGUGAGACAAUAAAAGAAGGUUCACAGCAGACGUGAUGGGGUGAUAAGAGCCUUAACCAAAGCAGUGAAUCCCUGGCUGAGAGCUAACUGAGAGUGGGCAGGGUCUGAUGGAGGAGGGGGGUCAUUGGGGGUGUGCCUUGGGUAUAUAUUUGGUAUCUGGAGAAAGGAGUGUCUGCUUCCUUGUCAUCAUGUGAGCUGCUUUCCUCUGCCAUACUCUUGUGCCAUGAUGAUCUGCCUCACCUGCAGCCCUGGGACAUGGAAGCAGCUGUCUAGAGACUAGACCUCUGAACCUGGGAGCCCCUAAAUAAACUUUUCCUCCUCUAAAAUGUUCUUGUAGGAACUUUUAAUCACAGCAGGGAAAAGGGUGACUACAACAGCUUGCCUCAACAUUACUCAGGUGUUAAUGUUCAAACAGGUGGAACGAGGAACCUAUCCUGAUUUCCAAGGUGGGUGUCAGAGCUUUCUCCCUUCUCCGAAGCUCUUACUGUAUUUACAUUGUGAACACUUCUCACCAGACCUACAAGAAGAUUCUACAUUACUUUCGAUCCCCAUCUUUCCUAAUUAAUUAUUUCUUUAAUUAACAGGAUUAACAGGAUUAUCUAAGAACUAACUGAGAAAUCUGGACUUUUUUCUUACAAAAUCUUUGAUGAUUGAACUUUCCUUGCAUAAUACUUCUCUAGGCCAGCUGGUAAACCUUUGACCUCUUCCAACAGUGCGUCCAAAACCACCCUCAGCUUCUUCUCCACACUCCAUGUGUGUUGUAUUUCUGUCCCAAUGGGCUGUAGGGAUGCCCCAGAUUCUAUCACAUUUGUCUCUCUUCUCUUUCCUCCUCUGGGAAGUCCUUAUUCCUUCACAGGUUUGGAAACCCAAGCACAGUACAAGCUCAGCUUUCUUCAUGACACCUUGGAUGUGUUCCCAGUUAAAGGUAAUUCUCCUUUCCUCUACCCUUCAAAUGGAGAAAAUUCAUAGAUGAGACAUGGAAAAAGGUUAACCCUCCAAUCCAAAUCCAUUCUGGGAUCAUGUUGAUGUUAGAGUUAAUUUAG